GACGAACGCUGGCGGCGUGCUUAACACAUGCAAGUCGAACGGAAAGGCCCUGCUUUUGUGGGGUGCUCGAGUGGCGAACGGGUGAGUAACACGUGAGUAACCUGCCCUUGACUUUGGGAUAACUUCAGGAAACUGGGGCUAAUACCGGAUAGGAGCUCCUGCUGUAUGGUGGGGGUUGGAAAGUUUCGGCGGUUGGGGAUGGACUCGCGGCUUAUCAGCUUGUUGGUGGGGUAGUGGCUUACCAAGGCUUUGACGGGUAGCCGGCCAGUGAGGGUGACCUGGCACAGUGGAGCUAAGAAACGGCCCAGACUCUUACGGGAAGAAGCAGUGGAGAAUAUUGCAAACUGGGCGGAAGCCUGAUGCAGCAACGCCGCGUGCGGGAUGACGGCCUUCGGGUUAUAGUCCGCUUUCGCCUGUGACGAAGCGUGAGUGACGGUAAUGGGUUAAGAAGCACCGGCUAAGUACGUG
rnacentral:rRNA from 1 species